rnacentral:rRNA from 1 species
UGGGGAAUUUUGGACAAUGGGCGCAAGCCUGAUCCAGCCAUGCCGCGUGCGGGAAGAAGGCCUUCGGGUUGUAAACCGCUUUUGUCAGGGAAGAAAUCUUCUGAGUUAAUACCUCGGGAGGAUGACGGUACCUGAAGAAUAAGCACCGGCUAACUACGUGCCAGCAGCCGCGGUAAUACGUAGGGUGCAAGCGUUAAUCGGAAUUACUGGGCGUAAAGCGUGCGCAGGCGGUUUUGUAAGACAGAGGUGAAAUCCCCGGGCUCAACCUGGGAACUGCCUUUGUGACUGCAAGGCUUGAGUGCGGCAGAGGGGGAUGGAAUUCCGCGUGUAGCAGUGAAAUGCGUAGAUAUGCGGAGGAACACCGAUGGCGAAGGCAAUCCCCUGGGCCUGCACUGACGCUCAUGCACGAAAGCGUGGGGAGCAAACAGGAUUAGAUACCCUGGUAGUCCACGCCCUAAACGAUGUCAACUGGUUGUUGGGAAGGUUCCUUCUCAGUAACGUAGCUAACGCGUGAAGUUGACCGCCUGGGGAGUACGGCCGCAAGGUUGAAACUCAAAUGAAUUGACGGGGUCAUAGCUGUUUU